CCCUUAGAUGUCCUGGGCCGCACGCGCGCUACACUGAUGCAUUCAACGAGUUUUACCUUGGCCGAGAGGCCUGGGCAAUCUUUUAAACCUGCAUCGUGAUAGGGAUAGAUUAUUGCAAUUAUUAAUCUUGAACGAGGAAUUCCUAGUAAACGCAAAUCAUCAAUUUGCAUUGAUUACGUCCCUGCCCUUUGUACACACCGCCCGUCGCACCUACCGAUUGAAUGGUCCGGUGAAAUCUUGGGAUUUUGUUUUGUUUGCAUUUAUUUGUAUCGAGACGAGAGAACUUGAGUAAACCUUACCAUUUAGAGGAAGGUGAAGUCGUAACA
rnacentral:rRNA from 1 species